UAGGGAAUUUUCGUCAAUGGGGGGAACCCUGAACGAGCAAUGCCGCGUGAGUGAAGACGGUCUUCGGAUUGUAAAGCUCUGUUGCGAGAGAAAAAGGACGGGGUCAGGAAAUGGGCCCCGGAUGAUGGUAUCUCGCCAGAAAGUCACGGCUAACUACGUGCCAGCAGCCGCGGUAAUACGUAGGUGGCGAGCGUUAUCCGGAAUGAUUGGGCGUAAAGGGUGCGUAGGCGGCACGAUCAGUCUGGAGUGAAAGGCUGCAGCUCAACUGCAGUAUGCUCUGGAAACUGUCGAGCUAGAGUACAGAAGAGGGCGAUGGAACUCCAUGUGUAGCGGUAAAAUGCGUAGAUAUAUGGAAGAACACCGGUGGCGAAGGCGGUCGCCUGGUCUGCUACUGACGCUGAAGCACGAAAGCGUGGGGAGCAAAUAGG
rnacentral:rRNA from 2 species